rnacentral:rRNA from 1 species
UACGUAGGGUGCAAGCGUUAAUCGGAAUUACUGGGCGUAAAGCGUGCGCAGGCGGUUAUGCAAGACAGAUGUGAAAUCCCCGGGCUCAACCUGGGAACUGCAUUUGUGACUGCAUGGCUAGAGUACGGUAGAGGGGGAUGGAAUUCCGCGUGUAGCAGUGAAAUGCGUAGAUAUGCGGAGGAACACCGAUGGCGAAGGCAAUCCCCUGGACCUGUACUGACGCUGAGGCGCGAAAGCGUGGGGAGCAAACAGG